CAGGUGGCCGACAUGCAGCUGUUUGUCCCGUGCCCGGGAGCUGCACGCUCUUCAAGUGACUGGCCCAGAGACGGUUGCCCAGAUCAAGGCCCAUGUAGCCUCCCUGGAGGGCCUCACCCCUGAAGAUAAGGUUGUGCUUCUGGCAGGGUCCCCCAACAGGAUGAAGUCACCCUGGGUCAGGGUGGGCUAGAAGCCCUGACGACCCUGGAAGUGAUUGGCUGCAUGCUAGGAGUUAUAGGGUACGAGAUUGAAUUCAGUUCCACACAUCGCAACUCGCAAUAUGAGACCAGACAUUGACAUAUUGGUGCAGAAAAGUGUCAGGUUUCUGGUUCCAAGUCAAAGGAGUAACAUUUUGAAAGAAAAUUUUAAUAAUUAAGGAUUUCUAUUUUUCAAUGUGUAUUUUAAAAUGU